CCGUCGAUAGCUCAGUUGGCAGAGCGGUGGACUGUAGGCGCUAAAGCAGAUAUCCAUAGGUCGCUGGUUCGACUCCGGCUCGACGGA
rnacentral:tRNA from 13 species